AACCUGCCUUUGAGAAGGGGAUAACUGUCCGAAAGGAUAGCUAAUACCCUAUAUUGCUUUUUGUCACUAAGGCAAAAAGUGAAAGCGAGGCUGUCAAAGGCUUCGGCUCAAAGAGGGGUUCGCGUCCUAUCAGGUAGUUGGUGGGGUAAUGGCCUACCAAGCCAAUGACGGGUAGCUGGUCUUAGAGGAUGAUCAGCCACAGUGGGACUGAGACACGGCCCGCACCCCUACGGGGGGCAGCAGUGGGGAAUCGUGGGCAAUGGACGAAAGUCUGACCCCGCAAUGCCGCGUGAGGGAAGAAGCCCUUCGGGGUGUAAACCUCUGUCAGAUGGGAAGAUGGGACUAGGGGCUAAUACCUCCUGGUCUUGACGAUACCAUCAGAGGAAGGGACGGCUA
rnacentral:rRNA from 1 species